AUUGAACGCUGGCGGCAGGCUUAACACAUGCAAGUCGAGCGGGGGGAGGUAGCUUGCUACCUAACCUAGCGGCGGACGGGUGAGUAAUGCUUAGGAAUCUGCCUAUUAGUGGGGGACAACAUUUCGAAAGGGAUGCUAAUACCGCAUACGCCCUAAGGGGGAAAGCAGGGGAUCUUCGGACCUUGCGCUAAUAGAUGAGCCUAAGUCGGAUUAGCUAGUUGGUGGGGUAAAGGCCUACCAAGGCGACGAUCUGUAGCGGGUCUGAGAGGAUGAUCCGGCACACUGGGACUGAGACACGGCGCAGACUCCUACGGGAGGCAGCAGUGGGGAAUAUUGGACAAUGGGGGGAACCCUGAUCCAGCCAUACCGCGUGUGUGAAGAAGGCCUUUUGGUUGUAAAGCACUUUAAGCGAGGAGGAGGCUACCGAGAUUAAUACUCUUGGAUAGUGGACGUUACUCGCAGAAUAAGCACCGGCUAACUCUGUGCCAGCCGCCGCAGUAACAC
rnacentral:rRNA from 1 species